rnacentral:rRNA from 1 species
UAGGGAAUCUUCGGCAAUGGACGAAAGUCUGACCGAGCAACGCCGCGUGAGUGAAGAAGGUUUUCGGAUCGUAAAACUCUGUUGUUAGAGAAGAACAAGGACGUUAGUAACUGAACGUCCCCUGACGGUAUCUAACCAGAAAGCCACGGCUAACUACGUGCCAGCAGCCGCGGUAAUACGUUGGUGGCAAGCGUUGUCCGGAUUUAUUGGGCGUAAAGCGAGCGCAGGCGGUUUCUUAAGUCUGAUGUGAAAGCCCCCGGCUCAACCGGGGAGGGUCAUUGGAAACUGGGGGACUUGAGUGCAGAAGAGGGGAGUGGAAUUCCAUGUGUAGCGGUGAAAUGCAUAGAUAUCUGGAGGAACACCAGUGGCGAAGGCGGCUCUCUGGUCUGUAACUGACGCUGAGGCUCGAAAGCGUGGGGAGCAAACAGG